CACGUAGGGCGCGAGCGUUGUCCGGAAUUAUUGGGCGUAAAGAGCUCGUAGGCGGCCUGUCACGUCGGAUGUGAAAGCCCGGGGCUUAACCCCGGGUCUGCAUUCGAUACGGGCAGGCUAGAGUGUGGUAGGGGAGAUCGGAAUUCCCGGUGUAGCGGUGGAAUGCGCAGAUAUCGGGAGGAACACCCGUGGCGAAGGCGGCACUCUGGGACGGUACUGACGCUGAGACGCGAAAGCGUGGGGAGCAAACAGG
rnacentral:rRNA from 1 species